AGAGUUUGAUCCUGGCUCAGAAUCAACGCUGGCGGCGUGCCUAACACAUGCAAGUCGAACGAGAAAGUGGAGCAAUCCAUGAGUAAAGUGGCGCACGGGUGAGCAACACGUGACUGACCUACCCUUGAGUGGGGGAUAACUGAGGGAAACCUUAGCUAAUACCGCAUAACACCUACGGGUCAAAGGAGCAAUUCGCUCAAGGAGGGGGUCGCGGCCGAUUAGUUAGUUGGCGGGGUAAUGGCCCACCAAGACGAUGAUCGGUAUCCGGCCUGAGAGGGCGCACGGACACACUGGAACUGAAACACGGUCCAGACUCCUACGGGAGGCAGCAGUGGGGAAUUUUGCGCAAUGGGGGAAACCCUGACGCAGCAACGCCGCGUGGAGGAUGAAGUCCUUCGGGACGUAAACUCCUUUCGACCGGGACGAUUAUGACGGUACCGGAAGAAGAAGCCCCGGCUAACUUCGUGCCAGCAGCCGCGGUAAUACGAGGGGGGCGAGCGUUGUUCGGAAUUAUUGGGCGUAAAGGGUGCGUAGGCGGUUUGGUAAGUCUGAUGUGAAAUCUAUGGGCUCAACUCAUAGUCUGCAUC
rnacentral:rRNA from 1 species